rnacentral:rRNA from 1 species
CUACGGGUGGCAGCAGUGGGGAAUCUUAGACAAUGGGGGAAACCCUGAUCUAGCCAUGCCGCGUGAGCGACGACGGCCCUAGGGUUGUAAAGCUCUUUCAGCAGGGAAGAUAAUGACGGUACCUGCAGAAGAAGUCCCGGCUAACUCCGUGCCAGCAGCCGCGGUAAUACGGAGGGGACUAGCGUUGUUCGGAAUUACUGGGCGUAAAGCGCGCGUAGGCGGAUUGUUAAGUCGGGGGUGAAAUCCCGGGGCUCAACCCCGGAACUGCCCUCGAUACUGGCAGUCUUGAGUUCGAGAGAGGUGAGUGGAAUUCCGAGUGUAGAGGUGAAAUUCGUAGAUAUUCGGAGGAACACCAGUGGCGAAGGCGGCUCACUGGCUCGAUACUGACGCUGAGGUGCGAAAGCGUGGGGAGCAAACAGGAUUAGAUACCCGCGUAGUC